rnacentral:rRNA from 1 species
AAGUCGUAACAAGGUUUCCGUAGGUGAACCUGCGGAAGGAUCAUUACCGAGAAUGGUGUGUGCCUCGAUCGUACGCCACCUUUCCACCCUCUUGUGUACCUCACCUCUUGUUGCUUUGGCGGGCCGGCUCUAACGGUCGGCUGGCUCCGUUGUAGGAGCUGGCUAGUGCCCGCCAGUAGGCCGCAUCAUACUUUUAAGUGGUUUGUCUGAGCUGCAGAGCAAAUACUAGCAAAACUUUCAACAACGGAUCUCUUGGUUCUGGCAUCGAUGAAGAACGCAGCGAAAUGCGAUAAGUAGUGUGAAUUGCAGAAUUCAGUGAAUCAUCAAAUCUUUGAACGCACAUUGCGCCCCUCGGUACUCCUUGGGGCAUGCCUGUUCGAGCGUCAUUUCAACCCCUCAAGCCUUAUCUGCUUGGUAUUGGGUGCCCGUCUUACGCCUCGGCCUAGACACGUCCUUAUUGUAUUGGCGGCAGCGUGUCCCAUCUCAAGCGUAGCAGUAAUGAAUUUCGCUUUGGAGAUGUGGGCUGCGCUUGCUAAAUGGCCGGCUGCCCUAGGGUGGUUGCGCUCUUCUAAGGGACCUCGGAUCAGGUAGGGAUACCCGCUGAACUUAAGCAUAUCAAUAAGCGGAGGAAAAGAAACCAACAGGGAUUGCCUUAGUAACGGCGAGUGGAGCGGCAACAGCUCAAAUUUGAAAUCUGGUCGCAAGGCCCGAGUUGUAAUUUGUAGAGGCAGCUUUGGAGUUGGCCCCGGCCUAAGUUCCUUGGGACAGGACGUCGUAGAGGGUGAGAAUCCCGUAUGCGGCUGUGGUGCCAUCUCCGUGCGAAGCGCCUUCGACGAGUCGAGUUGUUUGGGAAUGCAGCUCUAAAUGGGAGGUAAAUUUCUUCUAAAGCUAAAUACUGGCCAGAGACCGAUAGCGCACAAGUAGAGUGAUCGAAAGAUGAAAAGCACUUUGGAAAGAGAGUUAAAAAGUACGUGAAAUUGUUGAAAGGGAAGCGCUUGCAACCAGACCUAACCACGGAGGCUCAGCUAGCCUUUUGGCUUGCGCACUCCUCUGUAGCUAGGCCAGCAUCGGUUCGGGCGGUCGGAUAAAGACGGCGGGAAUGUAGCUCCUCUUGUAGGAGUGUUAUAGCCCGUCGUGGAAUGCGGCCUGUCUGGACCGAGGUCCGCGCUCCGGCUAGGAUGCUGGCGUAAUGGUUGUAAGCGGCC